rnacentral:rRNA from 1 species
GACGAACGCUGGCGGCGUGCUUAACACAUGCAAGUCGAACGGGCCUGUCUUCUUUUUUGGGGGGUGGGUUGAGUGGCGAACGGGUGAGUAUCACGUGAGUAACCUGCCCUUCGGUCCUGGAUAACCGCUUGAAAGGGCGGCUAAUACGGGGUGGUCCGGUUGGUCCGCAUGGGCUGGUCGGGAUAGAUUCACUGUUUUUGGUGUUUCGGCGGGGGAUGGGCUCGCGGCCUAUCAGCUUGUUGGUGGGGUGAUGGCCUACCAAGGCGGUGACGGGUAGCCGGCCUGAGAGGGUGGGCGGCCACACUGGGACUGCGAUCCGGCCCAGACUCCUGCGGGAGGCAGCAGUGGGGGGUAUUGCACAAUGGGCGGAAGCCUGAUGCAGCGACGUCGCGUGAGGGAUGGAGGCCUUCGGGUUGUGAACCUCUGUUUCCGGUGGUGAAGGCCCUGUCCGUGUGGUGGGGUUGACGGUAGCCGGGGAUGAAGCGCCGGCUAACUACGUG